rnacentral:rRNA from 1 species
UACGGAGGGUGCAAGCGUUAAUCGGAAUUACUGGGCGUAAAGCGUACGUAGGCGGCUUGUUAAGCAAGAUGUGAAAUCCCCGGGCUCAACCUGGGAAUGGCAUUUUGAACUGGCAGGCUCGAGUUCUGAAGAGGGUGGUAGAAUUUCCAGUGUAGCGGUGAAAUGCGUAGAUAUCGGGAGGAAUACCGGUGGCGAAGGCGCCCCUCUGGACGGGUACUGACGCUGAGGCACGAAAGCGUGGGGAGCAAACAGG